rnacentral:misc_RNA from 1 species
CAAACAAUAUUCACCCAAAACAAUAAUAUUGACAACACUACCAGCAAUAAAAAAGAAUCAACACAAGAAGAAACCCAGCUGCAUAUUUUUCUUGUCAACAAGGCAUUUUCUAUGCAAUGGUUUCUUUGAACUUGGCAAGAAUGGAGAGCAGAGAACUCCAUCAACCCUGUUUCCUCUCAAGAAAGUCUCACAAUUGAGUUUCCAUGUUUCUAGCACCUAAUCUCAUAUGAGCCUGCUUUAGUUAUAUAGCGGACCCACUCAACUGUGUUGUACCCACUUUUUUCCCAUACCUUGAGAAAACGAACACGUAAACCAGAUGCCGUAAACAUGGGAACCUGAAACUCCAUCUGAAUUGGUGGCCUUGUCCAAGACUUCUUCUCUGCCAUUGUAGAAAUCAGCUCAACUUCUGCACUCAAGGUGGGCUCAGUUUGUCCAGGAAAUUUUCUUAUCUUCCAAACCAAACAAUCAAUUGCAGCAUUGUACUUUGCUCGACCUGAUGUCACCCGGAAGCUUGCUUUAGCAGUUUGUUUGGGUACAGGAAUUUUGAUGACAACUCCAAGUGCAA